UAAUAUAGGCAAUAAGUGUAUUAAAUUUAGUAUUUAAUAAAAUUAGUAUUUUAUAUGUGAAGAAAUUAAAAUCCUUUAAACCAAAACCUAUACAAUCGCAAUUUUACGAUUCGUAAUAUUCUAUUACGUAUAUUUAAGACUAUCUCAAGACAAACUUCGUGCCUAUAUGCAUUCAGCACUUAUUUACCACUAACGUAGCUUUAUUGCUAUGCUUACUCUCCAGAUAUAAAAGUAAUAUUAAUAUAUGGGAACCUGCGGUACUCUUAGAGGCCUUCAACGAGCCAUCCCCGGGAUCUAUUAUCAGGCCUUAAUUACCCUAAACAACAAAUAAACCAGAGGUUACCAUACCCAACUCCUUUCGUACGAAGGGGCUAUCCUUGUUUUACUCUAAUUACUUCUAGAAGAUAGAAACCAUACUGUCUCACGACGUAUUUAACCCAGCUCGUGUAGCUCUUUAACCGACGAACAGUCGUACCCUUCAUGAUUCCUGCGUUCAUGUGGAUGAGCUAAGCCGACAUCGAGGUGCCAAACUGCGCACUCAAUUUGUACUCUCUGGCGCAAUUAGCCUGUUAUCCCUAGCGUAGCUUUUUUCAAAAAUCCAAGACCUUUCCUUUCUGCAUCUUGUGAUCGUAUGCCCCGCUUACGCGACUGAUAGACAUGUAAGUCAAACAAUAAAGCAAGGUUAAGCCAUUAAACUUUAACAGUAAAUAUUAAAAAUCAUCUUUUUUAUCUCUAAUUGAUAAUAAAGACAAGUUAAACAUCUAUUUUCCAUAUAGUUAAAACCUUACUUAAAAAAAUUAUAAUUAAUCUAACUUAAUAGAAAUAUAAGUGAAUAAAUCAUAAAAUAAUCUAUUACAAAGUAAAAAUAAUGUUUUAUAUAUAAUAGUUAUAAACAUAAUAAAAACAAAAUCAUUUAUAAACUUUAAUGAAUUUACAAUUUUAACUUUGGAUACACCCAGGUACUUUUUAUGGGAUCUGUGCCCCGCAUAAACUGUCCACUAGCAAAUGUCUCAUUUAUAAAAGUCAUAUUUAUUACAUAAACCUUUAUCAUUAACCUUUCAGAUAAGCAUAUGGAUAAUAAAUUAAUAUUACUUAAAAUUUGUAUAGUACCUUUCUCUGAAGUUGUCCGUGAAAAAUAAUUACUUCACUAUUAUAUUUUAAAAACUGUUUAUUACCUUUCGGUAGUAAUCUUAUGUUAUAUUAUUUUAUAUUGCAUUAGGCUUAUAUUAUAUUAUGUUAUAUUAUUUUAUAUUAGGUUAAGCUUAUAUUAUAUUAUGUUAUAUUAUGUUAUGUUAUAAUAUUUUAUACUAUGUUAUAUUAUGUUAUGUUAUAAUAUUUUAUAUUAUGUUAUGUUAUAUUAUUUUAUAUUGGGUCACGGUUAUGUUAUGUUAUAUUAUAUUAUGUUAUAUUAUUUUAUAUUAUAACAUAUUAUGUUAUAUUAUUUUAUGUUGCGUUAGGGUUAUGUUAUAUUAUGUUAUAAUAUCUUAUAUUAUGUUAUGUUACAUUAUGUUAUGUUAUGUUACAUUCUUACAUAAUGUUAUGUUACAUUCUUACAUUAUGUUAUGUUAUUUUAUAUUAUGUUAUAUAUGUUAUAUGUAUUUAUAAAGCUGUUUAUUCCCUUUCCUUAAUAAACAAUAGUCCAGUACUAAUCAACUAUAAGGAUAUACAUUAGUCCAAUAAUAUAAUAAACUAAGUAAAGGUAUUUCACUCUCAUCUUAUAAAUAACCUUAUAUACUACAACUUGUAUUAUUAUAUUCAGUAACUAGUAACAGUAAAGCUGCAUAGGGUCUUCUCGUCUAACUAGAAGAAAACUGUAUCUGCACAGUUAUUACAAUUUCACUGAGACAAUCAUUGAGACAGCUGUUGUAUCGUUAAAUCAUUCAUGCAAGACCGCAUUUAACGGCCAGGGUAUUCCGCUACCUUAGGACCCUCAUCGGUAAGGCCGCCAUUGAUUGGGGGUUCCUUCAAAACCUAGCUUACUGUUAUUUAACUAAGAAAAUUCGUUAACCAGCCAAUAUUGGGCAGAAAUCACACUCAAUACUUUGAUUUAUUAUCUUAUGCAAAGUGCUUUGUUUUAAUUAAACAGUCGUACAACACCAUUUUAUGUCUCCUUUUAUUACUUAAUAAUAAUGGUACACCUUAUCCCGAAGUUACGGAGUCAAUUUGCCGAGUUCCUUAAUGAUUGUUAUCUCAAACGCCUUUGUAUUCUCUACUUGCUUACUUGAGGUAGUUUAUAGGUACGGUCAAUAUAAUUUAUAAAAAAAAAAAAAUCAGCACAUAUCUUUUCCAGAACAUUUAUUACCUUUUUAUUUAAUAUAAACUUAUAUUUAUUAACAUAACAAUUAUUAAAUAAAUAAUUAUUCGAAUGUAGUAAAUACUUAUAAAUGUUAAAUAUACGCGAGAUUCACCCAUGAUUUAAUCCUUUAGGUAAGGUUUAUAAAAUUAGGGGCCGUUACUUUAACUCUAGGUUCAGAUUCCAUAAGCUUAAGGCGAGGGGUUACCCUUUUUCGUUACUCAUGUCAGCAUUAUCACUUGGGAUAGUUACCAUAAAUUUAUAUGAAGGAUAUAAAUUCUAAGAAUUAACCCAACGUUCCGCUACCCCAUAAAUAUAACUAUAAAUGAUUUUAAGAAUAGCAAUAUAUUUAUAUAAAUGUAUAUUUUUAUUUACAUUACUUUCUUUUUGCAAUAGUGAUUACAGUUUUAAUUAUGUACAAGGUUUCGGUACACUGUUUCAGAUCCGUUAUAUUUUCGGUGCGUUUAACUUUUAUAAUAAACCAGUGCUCUGUUACGAGAUCUUUAAAAAAUGGCCGCUUCUAAGCCUAUUUACUGGUUGUAUUUGAAAAGAACUUCCUUAAUUUCACUUAACAAUAAUUUUGGAACCUUUAACUCUUGUUCUGGGCUGUUUCCCUUUAGACAUACAACCUUAUCGUACUAUGUCCGACAGUUUAAUAUUCAUUGUUGCCCUUCCGAGAGCAAAUCCUCACUGAUAAAAUCUUCACGAUCCCCCAAUGUAUACAAAGAGAUUUUGCAUGUUUAAACAAUGCUUUUAAUCAAAAUUUGUCUGAGAUAACAAUUCUGUACCUGCAACGAUGUAAUUAUAAUUUUUCAUUUUUUAUUAAAUAAAUAUCAGUAAGUAUAGUACUCCACCAAAAAAAUAUUUAAUUAAAGUAAAUUGAAGACUAGAUAAACGAUGGUAAGAUGUUUAUAAAAUAUAUUUUUUUAUACAAUUAUUAUCUAAGUGUACCCAUAAAAUAGACUGACUAUUAAUAUAUAUUAUAUAUAAAUAUAUAAGGAAUGUAUUUAAUAUAAGAUUACAAGAAUAUGAUCCUACAAAUAUAACAGACAUAUAAAAUUGUGAAAGCUAACUGGUUUAAACGUAUUUUUUAUAUAAUAACUGUUUUCAACGCACUUUAUCGAAUACAAUUAAAUUAUAUAUUUUUUUUUUUAAUUACCAAAAUUAAUUAUAGCAAAAGAAAUUAUAACAAUAUAAAUUAUUUUCUUUUUUUCCAUGAGGACAAAGUAAAUUAUAAAUUUUCUUUAUAAAUCACCAAAAUUAAUUAUAGCAAAAGAAAUUAUAACAAUAUAAAUUAUUUUCUUUUUUUCCAUGAGGACAAAAUAAAUUAUUAUAAUAGAAAUUAUCUUUUUUCAUUAAAGAAAUUCUUUAUAAAAAAAACCUAUUACAAAAAGAAUUAUAUCAAAGUAAAAAUUUUUAACAGUCAUAACUUAGAUUACUCCUAUGUUUAGGUAAUACUUCUCCAUAACAAGUGUAUAAAGGCAAAUUUUAUUAACUGUGAGAUGAUGAUUAUAAAUCACAUUCACUUAAUCUUUUUUCAUAUAUAUUAUUUUUAAUAAAAAAAAAGUAUAUAAGUUUAUACAUUUCUAAAAAACGGCUAUAUGCAUACUAUCUUUCUAGAUUUAUAAUAAACUUAACGGUCAUAAAAGCAAAUUUUAUUAACUGUGAGAUGAUGAAUAUAAAUCACAUUCACUUAAUCUUUUUUCAUAUAUAUUAUUUUUAAUAAAAAAAAAGUAUAUAACUUUAUACAUUUCUAAAAAACGGCUAUAUGCAUACUAUCUUUCUAGAUUUAUAAUAAACUUAACGGUCAUAAAGGCAAAUUUUAUUAACUGUGAGAUGAUGAAUAUAAAUCACAUUCACUUAAUCUUUUUUCAUAUAUAUUAUUUUUAUAAUAAAAAAAAAGUAUAUAAUUUUAUACAUUUCUAAAAAACUUAACGGCUAUAUGCAUACUAUCUUUCUAGAUUUAUAAUAAACUUAACGGUCAUAAAGGCAAAUUUUAUUAACUGUGAGAUGAUGAAUAUAAAUCACAUUCACUUAAUCUUUUUUCAUAUAUAUUAUUUUUAUAAUAAAAAAAAAGUAUAUAACUUUAUACAUUUCUAAAAAACUUAACGGCUAUAUGCAUACUAUCUUUCUACAUUUCUAAUAAACUUAACCUAAUGGCUAUAUCCCUCCCUAUAGUGUUUUUAUAAAUAUAAUAUGAAUAUUGUCCAUUUUACGUCUUUUUAGAGAUAUAAUAUUACCCAUUAUACGUUUUUUUUAUUAAUAUAAUAUUACUAAUGUUAUAGAAUGACAAGGCAACGGUUUAUGUAUAUUAUACGACUUAUAUGGAAAUUGAGAAGUUAAUUAUUGGCUGUAUAUUAGUUCUAAUAAUUAAAAAGCUGAUUAUUAGCUGUAUAUUUUACGACUUAUACGAAAAUUUAGAAGUUAAUUAUUGGCUGUAUAUUAGUUCUAAUAAUUAAAAAGCUGAUUAUUAGCUGUAUAUUUUAUCUAGUAAUUAAAAAGCUAAUUGUUAGCUGUAUAUUUAGUAUAGUAAUUAAGCAGUGGAUUAUUAGCUGUAUAUUUAGUACAGUAAUUUAGUAAUGUAUAACUAGCUUCAUCUUAAUAAUUUAGGAGUGUCUUAUUAGGUUUAUGUUUAAUCUAAUAAUUAAAAAGCGAAUUUUUUUUUAUGAGUUUUUGGUCUGAUCUGGAUGUUUAUUUUUAUUACCGAAUUAAUGGCUGUAUCUUUAGCAUAGUAAUUUAGUAGUUUACUAAUAACUGUAUUUCAGUCAUUUAGUAAUGGAUUAUUAGCUUUAAUUAAAAAACGGAUUUUUUUAUCAGUUUUUGAUUAAGUCUGGAUAUUUAAAUUAGCGAAUUAAUGUCUGUAUAUUUAGCAUAGUAAUUUAGUAGCGUACUACUGGCUUUACGGUCAUUUAUGAGUGGAUUGUUAGCUUUAAUUAAAAAGCGGAUUCUUUUUUUUUAUGAGUUUUUGAUUCAGUCUGGAUAUUUAUUUUAAUUAGCGAAUUAAUGCCUAUAUAUUUAUUAUAGUAAUUAAAUAAUGUAUAACUGGCUGCAUCUUAAUGAUUUAACAAUGACUAAAUAUUAUCUUUGGCGGAAGACAUUAACGUUACUUAUUUAUUUUUCUAAAAAAAGAAAAAUUAUAACUUUUAAACUAAACUACCUACUUAUAUAGGUUUCGCGGAAAACCAGCUAUCCUAGUCAGUUUUGUCUUUCACUAACUUACCACAAUUCAUCAGAUAUCUUUACAACGAUAACCUGUUCGAGCUUUUAUAACCCUGAUCAUGGUAAGAUCACUAGGCUUCGGGUCUAAUACUAGAUACUUAUUCAUUAUUUAAUAAUUGCUUUAUCUGGGAUAUUAUUUUUCUUAAAGAAGUAAUCUCGCAUCUAAUAUUAACUUGCUGACCCAUUAUGCAAAAGGUACGCUCUCCUUCAUUUUUUUAUUUAAAUUUAAGCUGCUUAUAAAACUACUAUUUCAGAUAUUUCCCUUACGGUACUAAUGUUCUGUUGCUUAUCAUAUAUCAUUAUUUAGUCUUAGAGAAAGGUUUCCCUAUAUUCAAACAUAUUGUUUACGUUUUACUUUAAAGACUUUUAUAUUUCAUUUUUUAAGUGAAUAACAAUCUCAUUUGAUUUUUUUUCCUGAAGUUAAUAAGAUAUUUCAAUUCACUUCGUUAAAUAGUUGGAUUUAUCCUAG
rnacentral:rRNA from 1 species